GAUGAACGCUGGCGGCGUGCCUAAUACAUGCAAGUCGAGCGAACAGACGAGGAGCUUGCUCCUCUGACGUUAGCGGCGGACGGGUGAGUAACACGUGGAUAACCUACCUAUAAGACUGGGAUAACUUCGGGAAACCGGAGCUAAUACCGGAUAAUAUAUUGAACCGCAUGGUUCAAUAGUGAAAGACGGUUUUGCUGUCACUUAUAGAUGGAUCCGCGCCGCAUUAGCUAGUUGGUAAGGUAACGGCUUACCAAGGCAACGAUGCGUAGCCGACCUGAGAGGGGGGUUCGCCCCACUUGAACCGAGACCCGGUCCAGGACCCCACGGGAGGGCGCAGUAGGGAAUCCUUCGGAAUGGGGGGAAAGCUGGCCGAGGCAAGGCGGGGGAGUUGAGGAGGGUCUCCGGUUCGUAAACCCCGUUAUUAGGGAAAAAACAAUGUGUAAGUAACUAUGCACGUCUUGACGGUACCUAAUCAGAAAGCCACGGCUAACUACGUG
rnacentral:rRNA from 1 species